rnacentral:rRNA from 1 species
AACGAACGCUGGCGGCAUGCCUAACACAUGCAAGUCGAACGAGACCUUCGGGUCUAGUGGCGCACGGGUGCGUAACGCGUGGGAACCUGCCCUUAGGUUCGGAAUAACUCCCCGAAAGGGGUGCUAAUACCGGAUAAUGUCUUCGGACCAAAGAUUUAUCGCCUUUGGAUGGGCCCGCGUUGGAUUAGCUAGUUGGUAGGGUAAAAGCCUACCAAGGCGACGAUCCAUAGCUGGUCUGAGAGGAUGAUCAGCCACACUGGGACUGAGACACGGCCCAGAAUACUACGCGAGGGAGGAGUGGGGAAUCCAGGAAUACGGGCUGGAGCAUGAUGGAGCAAGGCCGGGAGAGUGCUGAAGGUCGUAGAGAUGUAAAGCUCGUUUAUACGCGAUGGUACUGACGGUACCGAGAGAAUAAGCACCGGCUAACUCCGUG